rnacentral:rRNA from 1 species
AGGAGAGUUUGAUCCUGGCUCAGAACGAACGCUGGCGGCGCGUCUUAAGCAUGCAAGUCGAGCGGGAUUCAUGUGCUUGCACAUGAUGAGAGCGGCGGACUGGUGAGUAACACGUAGGUGACGUACCUUGAGGACGGGGACAGCCGGCAGAAAUGCCGGGUAAUACCGGAUAAGCUCGCGCGAGCUGGAGUCGCGCGAGGAAAGGAGCUAAGGCUCCGCCUCCAGAGCGGCCUGCGGCCCAUCAGCUUGUUGGCGGGGUAAAGGCCCACCAAGGCGACGACGGGUAUCCGGCCUGAGAGGGUGAGCGGACACAUUGGGACUGAGAUACGGCCCAGACUCCUACGGGAGGCAGCAGCUAAGAAUAUUCCGCAAUGGGCGAAAGCCUGACGGAGCGACGCCGCGUGGACGAUGAAGGCCGGAAGGUUGUAAAGUCCUUUGGAGACCGAGGAAUAAGCGGGGGAGGGAAUGCCCCCGUGGUGACUGUAGGUCUAGAACAAGCACCGGCUAAUUACGUGCCAGCAGCCGCGGUAACACGUAAGGUGCUAGCGUUGUUAGGAAUUAUUGGGCGUAAAGGGCAUGUAGGCGGCGCGAUAAGUCAGACGUGAAAUCCCGGGGCUCAACCCCGGAACUGCGUUUGAUACUGUUGCGCUUGAGUCAGCGAGGCGGAACCGGAAUUCCUGGUGUAGGGGUGAAAUCUGUAGAUAUCAGGAAGAACACCGGUGGCGAAGGCAGGUUCCGAGCGCAUGACUGACGCUGAGGUGCGAAGGUGCGGGGAGCGAACAGGAUUAGAUACCCUGGUAGUCCCCU